CCUANGGGGGGCUGCAGUCGAGAAUAUUCCACAAUGGGCGAAAGCCUGAUGGAGCGACGCCGCGUGCAGGAUGAAGGUUUUCGGAUUGUAAACUGCUUUUCUCAGGGAAGAAUUUGUGACGGUACCUGAGGAAUAAGAGGUUGCUAACUCUGUGCCAGCAGCAGCGGUAAUACAGAGACCUCAAGCGUUAUCCGGAUUUACUGGGCGUAAAGCGUCCGUAGGUGGUUUAGCGGGUUAAAAGUAAAAACUUCGCGCUCAACGCGAAGGCUGCUUUUAAAACUACUAAACUAGAGAGUGGGAGAGGUAAGCGGAAUUGCAGGUGUAGUCGUAAUAAGCGCUGAUAUCUGCAAGAACACCAAAUGCGAAGGCAGCUUACUAGAACACUUCUGACACUGAGGGACUAAAGCGUGGGGAGCAAACAGGAUUAGAUACCCGANUANUC
rnacentral:rRNA from 1 species